AAACUACGCUUUCUAAGAAGGAAAAAAAUAUUACAUCCAUCCCUGAAAGCAGAAGUUUUAGGUGCUUUAAAAACAUCUUUAAGAAAUGCAUAGAACACCAACGCACUGAAAUAAGGUUUAGAAAGAACGUGGCUGUGGACUUCAGGACAUGAGUGAGUGCGUUUGUCAAACGCGAUGCAGCGGCAACAACAGGAAAUCGCAUGAUCACGUUGGACUCCUGGCUGGCAGAAGAAACACGGCCAGUUCUUCUCGCACUGCACAGAAAAUCUCCAGGCGAUGCAGUGGCUCCACACCAACCCCUCUCUAACCUCCUUUGUAUGGGGCAUCACAAGGAAAAGUCUUUCUUAUGCCCUAGAAAUCUCCGAUUCCAUUGGCUUUUCCAGCUGCUCUGAAUUACUCUAGGGACUGGACCUGAUGCACUCAAACCU